rnacentral:rRNA from 1 species
GCCUAAUACAUGCAAGUCGAACGAGAAUGUGUAGCAAUACACAUGUACAGUGGCGAACGGGUGAGGAAUACAUGGGUAACCUACCCUCGAGUGGGGAAUAACCAGCCGAAAGGUUGGCUAAUACCGCGUACGCUUCCGAGACUGCGGUUUCGGAAGGAAAGCGAUACCGUGGGUAUCGCGCUCUUGGAUGGGCUCAUGCCCUAUCAGCUUGUUGGUGAGGUAACGGCUCACCAAGGCAUCGACGGGUAGCUGAUCUGAGAGGAUGAUCAGCCACACUGGCACUGNGACACGGGCCAGACUCCUACGGGAGGCAGCAGUAAGGAAUAUUGCGCAAUGGGCGAAAGCCUGACGCAGCGACGCCGCGUGGGGGAUGAAGGUCUUCGGAUUGUAAACCCCUUUCGGGAGGGAAGAUGGGAUGGGGUAACCCGUUCGGACGGUACCUUCAGAAGCAGCCACGGCUNACUUCGUGCCAGCAGCCGCGGUAAUACCAAAGUGGCAAGCGUUGUUCGGAUUACUGGGCGUACAGGGAGCCGUAGCGGU